rnacentral:lncRNA from 1 species
AUACUGUAUUGAGUACAAUUUUAUUCUUGCAUACAAAUUCACACACACACGUAGCUAUGCCGAACAUCUUGAUUAUUCAGAGUCCUGCCCGCAAAAAUAAGGAAAUAUCUUGUCGUUUCAUGGUCGAAUCGUCUGUUGUUAAACUACCAGCUCCAACUCGUUGGCUUCUUGGAAUAAUUUGAGAGAGAUUAGCGUAACAACCAUUAAAAUAACAGCUGUCAAAGCAGUGGUGCAACUUGUCAUCGUACCAAUGUAUUAAGAAAAGUAUUUACGGUGGAUCUUUAAUAAAACUGUGGCACUGUUCUCUCUCUCUGUACUCAAACAGGCCUUCCACCUUUCAGCUCACUUCUACGGAUGCUCUUCCAGAGUCAUUAUAAGGAAGUACUAUUCAAGGACUGGGGUCGAUGUCAUCGAUUCGCCUUCUCUGUUUAUAAUUGUUAGUGUCUAAAUUAGGAGGCGCAUGGCUUGGUGGUUAGGGUGUUGGACUCAUAGAUGCAAGACUCUGUGGUUUCGAUUCCGGGACCAGGCGAUGCGUUGUGUUCUUGAUCAAAACACUUUAUUUUAUGUUGCUCCAGUACACGUAACUAACAAAAAUUAAUAAUCUUGUGAUGGACUGUGGCCCCAUUCGGGGAGGAAUAUAUACGCUAGAGAAACUGAGAAACCGGUCCUGUACACCUUACGGAGUUAAUAUUACUAACCAAAUUAAAAAUUAUUAUUAUUAUUUAGGUCGUACUCAAACAACUCGUCCAGUGGUUCCCCUUUAUAUCUUGCUAGCUCAACACCGCUUCCAUAUUUUUCUGUAUUUCAUUCACGUAUUUUGGUGUGGGAUACCUUUUCUCUCGAUGCCUUUGCGUUGGCUCCCAUAAGUACCUGUUGUUUGGUUGGGAGCUCACGAUGUCUCUGAUGGUGACUAGUCAACCUCAUUCUUAUUUUCUCUUUUUAUAUACUAAUCAAAGUCAUUAUCGAAUGACCUCGUGGUUUCGGUUCCAUAUUCUAACACCCAAUGGCGAGCCACGAAUGGUAAUGAGGGCAAAUUUGAGACAUUUGGCUUCAAAAACACACAUUGGCGGCAAAUUGUUUUUAUGCUGUACUAGCAGUAUAGCCCGGCGUUACUCGGGUUUGUUUCGACCCUUUAGAAUUGGAAUUUUUGAAAAGUAAAAAUUUUGCAUUAUGUAGCUUGUUAUUCUCUUUAAGUGAACAUUUUUCUGGUUGAAAUACACAGAAAAAUGGCGACACAGCAGUCAAAAAAUCGUAAAAAAUAGGGAUUUUCAUAGGAAAAAGCACGUUUUUGAUGUAAAUAAUUUUUAGUGUUAACAAGGUCCGAUUUGAAUUUUUUCUUCUACUGAAGGAAGAGCAAGCCUUCUAUCAUAUUCUCAAUUUUGGUCAACUUGCACCGCAGACCUCGGAGGGUGUUAGUUGAAGGCUACCAAGCCUUCCACACACACACACACACACACAACCUCAACUUUAUAUAUAUAUAUAUAGAUUUAGCAGUUGCUUUCGGAACGUUGUAACUCUGUUUAGGGAAAAUGCUGCUGGGAAGUAUCUAGAAAGGCUGGUCGAAAAACCACUUAUCUCCAGCUUUCCUGAUCAGACAACUGCAUCCAGUAUAAACAUUUUGUGGUCGCAACAACCAUAAAGCGAGCUGGCAGAAGCGUUAGAACGCCGUACUAAAUGCUUAGCAGUUUUUCGUCCUUCUUUACUGAGUUUAAAUUUCGCCGAGGUCGUCUGUGCCUUUCAUCGUUUCGGGGUCGAUAAAUAAAUACCAGUUCAGCACCGGAGUCGAUGUAAUCAGCUUGAUUACUCCUGGGUAUAAGUAUAAAAAAGAAAAAUCUGCAUCCCUCUGCCUAACCUUGUCGCGUGUGCCACUGUGGAAGAGUAGGCUCAUAAAACAGGUAUGAUCUCAAGUCAUUCUCUGGUGAUGAGAACAUGCCGAGCCCCCGCCGCCCUUCUGCAGAGGACUGAACAUGGAUAAUCUAAUCCAAGCCAACAGUUAUUUAAAAUAUCGAACUGCUCUUUUGAUCAUAGAACAAGAAAUACUCAAACUUUACAAGGCAAAAGAAACGUCAACAGCCAAGAGCAUCAAACUGCUCUCAUCGCCCAGAAACUGGCAAAAUUCAACGUUGGAAUCAGACUAGGAGACGAUGAUUAAGUAACAGAGACUGUUUUCUGUUACAGUUUCUUCUGGAAAGAGCUACUUCAAGACUGAAAAGCAUUUUCAUGAAGUGGUAAUUUUCUGUAGAAUCGAAGUCAGUGAAAGAUGUGAACGAGGCCCAUUUAUAUUAACGAAAAGAUCGCCAUAUUGGAAAAAGCUUUCAAAGAUUGUUAGCUAAUUGUCAUCAGUGCAUAUGCACUAAGAUGCAGUGCAAGCGAUGAGGACAGGUUAGGUUUCUACAGCGUCCUUCCACGUGUCUUUACGACGCUUCUAUAUCCGUUGACAUAGCCCAAAGGGGUGUACGUCAACGCCCGAGUGGGUAGAGACUCCAUAAUAUAGAAGGAUAUCACUGGAAACCGAAAAUUCAGCAACAUCCUUCACCUUGAAUUAAUUAACCAUCACCGAUGUCCUCUCCAUGCUCAAGUCGAAAGUUUAAAUACAAAACAAGCUGGAUGUAUUCUCGAUCACAUCGCCAGUUGCCGUAAUCUGACUGAAUACAAGUUUGCGUAAAGGAGAGACGAAAGCGAUUUCAGUAACACCGAAGCAAUGACAACCACUGACAAACAUUAAACUGAACAUCGUCUUGUCACAUCACAUCACAUCACAUUAAUGAAUGAAAUGCAAACACGAGCCGUUGUUGAAUAAAUUGAAUGUCCAAGUAAGAUUCUGGGUUUCGCCAGACAUUUAAACAAAAUCGAAAACGAAAUCUAAACGCUAGCAUCUCGAACCAAUCAGAUUUGGUGUUUCGAUGAAAUGGCUUGAAAACUGCAAAGCUUUCUCCAGCUUGAAAAUGGCUUAAAAACUGCAAAGCUUUCUCCAGCUUGAAAAUGGCUUGAAAACUGCAAAGCUUUCUCCAGCUUGAAAAUGGCUUGAAAACUGCAAAGCUUUCUCCAGCUGAAUCAGAACUGGGGAAUCUCGAACCGUAACUCUUUCUUCUUAUUUAAUAAUCUGAGAUAUGUUUUCUAGCGGUGUUUUCCUAUCGUUUUGACCUCUCAUAUAUUUUACUAACUCGUCUGUAAUUUCCUCUCUUAUACCUGUUGGUUCGAUGUAGAACGAUGCUGAAAUCUGCAAGUUCAUCUACAAGAUGAAAUGACAGAUCUCUUGCAAAUCCAACAAGAUUUUCUUGGGGAAAAACGGCCCUAGAUCCAAAACCAAGGAAGACAGCGCUCCACAUUUCAAGGCGGAUGUUCAAUCAUAGAUCAGUUGAAUUCAAAACGAAUAGGAGCCCAAAAGCUGUUUUGAGCCACGCCAUUCAUUAUUUCAAGUGUGUUUUCUAUUAACCUGCCAUGGCAGUGACAACAACAAUAAAAGCUGAAUAUGUACGUAUUUUGAUAGAUGACACAACAUUCUUGUUCUAUUGGUUUAAAUAUUCAACAAACAGGCGUUGUUGUGUUCUAAGACGUUUGCUCCCCGACCACA